rnacentral:rRNA from 1 species
UACGGAGGGUGCAAGCGUUAAUCGGAAUUACUGGGCGUAAAGCGUGCGUAGGCGGUUUAGUAAGUCAGAUGUGAAAGCCCUGGGCUUAACCUGGGAACUGCAUUUGAAACUGCUGAACUAGAGUGUGGUAGAGGGAAGUGGAAUUCCGGGUGUAGCGGUGAAAUGCGUAGAUAUCCGGAGGAACACCAGUGGCGAAGGCGACUUCCUGGACCAACACUGACGCUGAGGUACGAAAGCGUGGGUAGCAAACAGG